rfam:Parasporobacterium paucivorans DSM 15970 genome assembly, contig: EJ69DRAFT_scaffold00002.2
AGAAUUCCGAUGAAUUAGCCGGAGACAGCAGGCGCGUUGCGUAAAGAAAUUAUUUUCUGCCUGCCGAGGAUUAUAAAUGUUUGCUUAGUUAUUGAGUAGAACGUAUAGCCCUCCUGCAUUUUUCGGGAGGGCUUUUAAUUUACUUCG